AGACCCUGUGGUAGUUACUACUUCAACAGAUUCCACAGGUGCUUCAUACACAGCAACCCCAGCUACAGGGGAUUCACAUGGUGCUAUCGCCCAGACAAUGUUGACAGCUACAGCUGGUCCACCUGAAAAGACCCAAGCCCCAG